CAGGAGCCAUUUGGAACCUAAAAUAGAGCGCCCAGAUUUUCCUUUCUCAUCCUGUAAUCAAUUUCAAAAUUUCAGACUUCACCCCUGACUUCAGCCAUAAAGAUCCCAGCUAAAGAAAAUGGGCACAGAAUGAAAUCUCACUUCUACACUGUAAACUCUUUGCUAUUUCGGACUGGAAAUUGUUGGAACAACAGAAGCUUCAAAGAUGCAGCCAGCACAAACCAUUGCCUCCAUGUGGAACUUCUACUUGUGGUCACUGGAAGCAUCAAUAAACCAUAUGGAUUUUAUUUUAAAAGCAAGAUGGAGGAAAUACCAAAAUAACCUGGAAUACAACACUGACCACCCCACAGCAUCAUAUCCCAUCUGAAGAAGGGUACAGAUGUUUCAGGAACAGUCCACAGCUAUCUCCAAAAUGGCUACUACCAAACAUACAUUGUGUAUGCCAUAACAUAGUACUGUUGCACUACUACACUAGUAUGAGUUGUUGGGUGUUCCUAACACAGCAAAUCAACCAAGCUGAUCAAUUUAAUGCUGCCUGAUGCUCCUGCUUGGAAAAAAAAUAAGCAAAAGAAUAUUAAUGUUUUAUCAGGAAAUGCUGCAGUCUAGUCCCUUGUCUUGCUGUGACCCAAUAGGUAUCAGAUCCAGCUUCUCCACCACAGAUGUUUGGCUAGAAAGACAUCUAUCUCAGUACCAAAGCUUGGUGGUUCUCUGCCUUGAAUACUAGGUCUAUGAAGCUAAACUGAUUGAAUAGUGCAAGCAGGCACAACCAAAACAGAGUCCAGCAUAGUCCAUUUGUUUAACGCUUCUGUUGCCUGUGAAUUGAAUGUAAUUCCAAAUGGGAAGCAGCUGGAAUAUGAACCAUAUCCAAUUUAAUUUGGUGUGGCACUGAAUUGAGCUUUGACCUUUCACACUUAGAGAACAGCUGUCAAAAUUAACAGACAAUAACCUCAGUAAACUCUCUGACUCUGUGUGGGGUACAUACACUCAUACACUAUGAACAUCCAUGCUUACCAGCUGCUACCUAACUACAUGAUGUCGUGUCAUUUAUCAUAUACAAUAUCCUUGCAGAUGCAAUUGUACUGCAUUGAGCAUCUUGUCAAAAACUCUCCAUCAAGCUUGUCAGCCCUGAGCAGCAUAGCACAAGCUCAGAUAAGUCAUGAGGAUGCAUAUUAAACUAAUGAACCUUGUGACAGUCCAGAUCUGCCCUUUUUCCAUAUGUUUCUCCAACCCACACACAGUUCAGUUGUCAUUGAGAUGAUCCUUGUGGCCCAACAUGUUGUGCCAGGACAACCUAUAGUUAAGCUAGCAAAAGGAUUGGCCUUCAGCAAGGACAGAAAAAGAGUUGUUGAUCCAACUGCCCACUCUUGUAGUUUUGCCCUUCCACACAAGUUUGCCCUCUUGAAAUAGGUUCAGGAUUGGCCAAGUUCACCAGUCUGCACUAAGGGGGGAACAAGCAUAACAUCCCACAAUAUGGAUGCGAACAUGUACAGAUAACAAUGCACAUGGUUGAUGACAGACUUCUACUGAGACUUAAGGUCAGUUUGACCCUGUUGAAUGCUGCCAAAGGAGCCAUUGUCUGUCUUGACAAGAGGAAUAUUGGCUACGUAGGUAGAUUUGCAAAUAGACUGUGUCCAAAACUUAGAGUGUAUCCAAUACUACUUGCUAAUCAAGGCAUCUAGCUUGUUUCAUAUCAUAUGCAAAAAUGCAUUCCAUUUUGUAUUUAUUACUUUUCAGUGAUACAGGGGUAGUUCAACACACGUUCAGUUAAACUACUGCAUCUAUACACAUAUAUGGAAAGUAAACACCUGUCCAUUAUUUUUAAUUACUUUUUUCAGAAGGGGAAGAGGAAAAUGAACCAUUCAAGCAUUUUGGCCUUAGUGUUAAUUAUUUUCAAUAAAGAACAGUACCACCUGUC